GAGUCAAAGAGCCGGAAGGCCUACUCUGCGCUGUAUCACUAAAUAAAUCAACAAAUAAUUCUAAGGUUCUUCCCUUCUUUCUUAUGCAAGGAAACAAGGCUCUAGGAAUCUGUGAACCGCAUAACCAAUUACCAAAUAAUAAACAGUAUCGAUUGGAAAUUAAAGCAAGGAGAAAGUGAGAGAUUGUAAAGUGACCUGGGAGUGAAGAAAGAUUAAAGGUCAUUUAUAAAAAUCACAAAGAGGAGGAAUCCCAGAACAGAUCCCCGCGGAACACCACUGGUCACCGACCUCCAUGCAGAAAAUAAACCAUGCUGCCCAGCAACCCCAAAUUUAACCCUAGCAUAAUCAUAGGACAAUUUACAAUGACUAAGUAACCUACCAACUGGUAUGUCUUUGGAUUGUGGGAGGAAACCACAGCACCUGGAGGGAACCCAUACAGUCGUGUGGAGAACGUACAAAUUCCUUACAGGCAGAGUCGGGAAUUGAGCCCUGGUUGCUGGUACUGUAAAGUAUUGUGUUAAUCUUUCUUUACCAAUCUUUUUAUUGAUGUAAAAGGAGCAUAAAUACAAAUAAGAGGAGAAUUAUCUCAAAUAUAUAUAUCAAUAACAAUACAAACAGAAAGUGAAAUAGACAUUAUCAAAAUCAUACAUAGUGUUAAGCUAGUAUGCAGUAUAUAAUAAAAAAGAAGACAGCUAAUUCUCCUCUUAUCAAUUCAUGGAGAGAA